UACGGGGGGGGCAAGCGUUGUUCGGAAUUACUGGGCGUAAAGGGUUCGUAGGUGGCCAACUAAGUCAGACGUGAAAUCCCUCAGCUUAACUGGGGAACUGCGUCUGAGACUGGAUGGCUUGAGUGCAGGAGAGGAACGCGGAAUUCCAGGUGUAGCGGUGAAAUGCGUAGAUAUCGUAAGGAAGACCAGUGGCGAAGGCGAGUCUCUGGACAGUUACCGACGCUGAGGCACGAAGGUCAGGGGAGCAAACGGG
rnacentral:rRNA from 1 species